rnacentral:rRNA from 1 species
AUUGAACGCUGGCGGCAGGCCUAACACAUGCAAGUCGAGCGGAUGAAGGGAGCUUGCUCCUGGCUUCAGCGGCGGACGGGUGAGUAAUGCCUAGGAAUCUGCCUGGUAGUGGGGGAUAACGUCCGGAAACGGGCGCUAAUACCGCAUACGUCCUGAGGGAGAAAGUGGGGGAUCUUCGGACCUCACGCUAUCAGAUGAGCCUAGGUCGGAUUAGCUAGUUGGUGGGGUAAAGGCCUACCAAGGCGACGAUCCGUAACUGGUCUGAGAGGAUGAUCAGUCACACUGGAACUGAGACACGGUCCAGACUCCUACGGGAGGCGGCAGUGGGGAAUAUUGGACAAUGGGCGAAAGCCUGAUCCAGCCAUGCCGCGUGUGUGAAGAAGGUCUUCGGAUUGUAAAGCACUUUAAGUUGGGAGGAAGGGCAGUAAGUUAAUACCUUGCUGUUUUGACGUUACCAACAGAAUAAGCACCGGCUAACUUCGUG